GGGCAAGUGGUCUAGGGGUAUGAUUUCUCAUUCGCAUUAACUUGCGCAACAAAAACUUUGAGAAGGUCCGGGGUUCAAUUCCCCGCUUGUCCA